CAAUGUGUUACACCUGAGAUGAGGUCACAAUCAUUGUCCACAGGGAAAUCUAGGGGAAGGGAGUCAUUUCUGGUAUGGAGAAGACCAUCUUCAUGGAGAGACUUUUUUUGCUGAGGAGGACCAAAUUAGGCGCUCCAGCUCACUCCCAGGCUUUUCUACAGCUUAAUUCCUGGCUUAAGAACUUGCUCUCGCCUGCCUGAGGAUUGGCUCGCCCGUAAUUGUCAUUGUAGCCGGCGCUGGCUUAUGGGAGAAUUUAACGGCAGUGAUAUAAGGACAAGUGUCACAAACCAUGCCCAAGACACCUCAAGAAUUACAUCUUCAGUUCAGGAAUGGGAGAGAGAAGCUGGGAUAUAAGAGCAAGGCUAUAGAGUAUUGGGAAACAGGACAGGACCUCAAGAGCUUCUUCUAGCCUGCCAUCUAGCAAGUCUAAUCCUUCUACUACAUCAUAGCCCUUCAUAUCUUGGAAAACAGCCAUCAUGUCACUCAACACUACACCCCAUCCCCACUGCCUCUGCCUGUCUUCUCCACGCAAAAGAUCACUAACUCCUCCAUCUAGUCCUCAUUGGGUCCUUUACCAUUCUGGGUGCCUUUUUUAGAUGAUCUCUGGCUUGUUGGUGUCCUUCCUAAUUUCCAGAUUCUCCAAGCGAAGAGGGAAGAGGCCCAGGUGAAGGGUGUCGGAUUUAGCAGGAAGCAGUAGAGGGAAGUGACUCCCAACUAAGGCUCUGCAGAGGAGUCUCUGCUGGAGCCAGACAAGCCAAAGAUUUUCCCCCCUGAGGAUUCCCCUGAAUCAGAGGCUAGCCCUGGGACUCCUGGGACCCAUAAGACCAAGGGCACCCCUUCCCUUCCCCAGAAUAAAUACUGUUACCUCUGCCAGAGGAGGG